UGGGGAAUAUUGCACAAUGGGGGAAACCCUGAUGCAGCAACGCCGCGUGAAGGAAGACGGUUUUCGGAUUGUAAACUUCUGUUCUUAGUGAAGAAUAAUGACGGUAGCUAAGGAGCAAGCCACGGCUAACUACGUGCCAGCAGCCGCGGUAAUACGUAGGUGGCAAGCGUUGUCCGGAAUUACUGGGUGUAAAGGGAGCGCAGGCGGGAGACCAAGUCAGCUGUGAAAACUACGGGCUUAACCUGUAGACCGCAGUUGAAACUGGUUUCCUUGAGUGAAGUAGAGGUUGGCGGAAUUCCGAGUGUAGCGGUGAAAUGCGUAGAUAUUCGGAGGAACACCGGUGGCGAAGGCGGCCAACUGGGCUUUAACUGACGCUGAGGCUCGAAAGUGUGGGGAGCAAACAGGAUUAGAUACC
rnacentral:rRNA from 1 species